UAAGUAGGCAGCGGAAACGAUACAAACCUGGAUUCCUCAAUUAGUUGCGAAUGAAAGAGAGAGGAUUUCAGCUUGACAUCCAAGGGCAUUACCUUUGACAUGCAGAUUUGAUCGUGUGCCAAAGGGAGGGAGGUGGAGAGUGGAUACUGUCUUGGGAGAGGGGUGUGCAAGUGGCAACGAGGGUAACAAGCCUUUGACGCUUGAUGUGUCUUCCUGCACGGCACCUUCUCUAGACUCAUGCUCUUUGAAAGUGGAGUGCAAAGUGGGUGGUAAAUCUCACUCAAAGCCAGAUACAACACUGGGGCCGACAGCAUACAAGUACCGUGAGGGAAGUGUGAAAAGGACUUUGGACAGAGAAUUAGAGGAGCCUGAAUGUGCUGAACAGCAAGCAUACAGGGUGGGGGACUUUGGAGAGAUUUCGCUGCGCGACCAAGCAAGUGGUUACCGUAUGUGCAAAGGUUCUGUGGUGUGCAUUGGCAUGACGUGUGUGUGUGUCUCUUCUUGGAUGUCAAUCAAAGACAGCUGCAGUCAAUGGCAACUGGUGAUGAAGGGUCACUUUGUGCCAGUGGCUGUCACUGCCCAGAUUGUGCACGUGCCUGGGACACGGUGGGGGGUGGUACCAUGGCUGACAUGGUGCUCUAAAAAGGUGGGUGUGGGGCGUGUUUGUUGUGCCUCAUUAUGUGUGAAGGUAGGUUCUGCCUGGCAGCACAUCUGCUGUCACCCUCUGCCUGUGUGACCCGUCUUGGUGUCGAGUACAACUGUGUGCCAAUGAAAGUGGAGUCCCAGACCUGUGCAUGAGUGUUCCACCAAACAGGCGGUUGAGGUUUGAGUCUGAGCAUGGCUGCUACGACCCGAAAGAUGGUGAGCUAUAUCUGGCAAGGGUCAAGGCAGGGGAAACUCUGAUGGAGGCUCGCAGCGUUACUGACGUGCAAAUCGUUCGUCGCACUUGGGUAUAGGGGCGAAAGACUAAUCGAACCUUCUAGUAGCUGGUUCUCUUUGAAGUCUCCCUCAGGAUAGCUGGAGUCAGACAGUUUUAUCAGGUAAAGCGAAUGAUUGGAGGAAAUGGGGGUGUGACACUUUUGACCUAGUCUCAAACUUUUAACGGGUAUGCAGCAGAGGUUGCUUUGUGUGAAUUCGCACUGAAUGUGUUGCUCAUGUGGGCCACUUUUGGUAAGCAGAACUGGCGAUGAGGGGUGAACCUAUUGACUGGUUAAGGCACUGGACUUCUUGCUCAUCAGAGAUCAUAAAAGGGUGUUGGCUCAUUCAGACAGCAGGACGGUGGUCAUGGAAGUCGAAACCCGCUUGGGAGUGU
rnacentral:rRNA from 1 species